UAUGAAGGGGGCUAGCGUUGCUCGGAAUCACUGGGCGUAAAGGGUGCGUAGGCGGGUCUUUAAGUCAGGGGUGAAAUCCUGGAGCUCAACUCCAGAACUGCCUUUGAUACUGAAGAUCUUGAGUUCGGGAGAGGUGAGUGGAACUGCGAGUGUAGAGGUGAAAUUCGUAGAUAUUCGCAAGAACACCAGUGACGAAGGCGGCUCACUGGCCCGAUACUGACGCUGAGGCACGAAAGCGUGGGGAGCAAACAGG
rnacentral:rRNA from 1 species